rnacentral:ncRNA from 2 species
AUAUUUUUUGGGAAUGAAGUUCUCCCAAGAUUUUUCUGAACUGCUAUAAGCUGAUGACUUCUGUAUUUUA